CCAACCCCUCUUUUCCUCCUCCUCAGCCUGCUCAGUGUGAAGACAAGAGGAUGAAGACUUAUGAUGAUCCACUUUCACUUAAUGAAUGGUUUCCGCAGAGGCCAAAUAUACCAGAUGACUGUGAAAUCUUCACUUUAAUUUGCAUGCGUCUUUGAAAUUCCAUCUCUUCAAUAUUUUAUGAGAGAGUGUGUUGACUUGAAGAAGUUAGAAAUGGCAAAUUCCCUUCCAAACCUG